CAGUAGCCGCGGUAAAACGUAGGUGGCAAGCGUUGUCCGGAAUUAUUGGGCGUAAAGGGCUCGCAGGCGGUUUCUUAAGUCUGAUGUGAAAGCCCCCGGCUCAACCGGGGAGGGUCAUUGGAAACCGGGAAACUUGAGUGCAGAAGAGGAGAGUGGAAUUCCACGUGUAGCGGUGAAAUGCGUAGAGAUGUGGAGGAACACCAGUGGCGAAGGCGACUCUCUGGUCUGUAACUGACGCUGAGGAGCGAAAGCGUGGGGAGCGAACAGGAUUAGAUACCCCUGUAGUCCCUGUCUCUUAUAA
rnacentral:rRNA from 1 species